GCGGGUUUGGUCUAUGGAUUGGGCCUCAGCCUUCCAAGCUGAAGAAACGGGUUUGAAUCCCGUAACCCGCUCCA
rnacentral:tRNA from 1 species